rnacentral:rRNA from 1 species
GAUGAACGCUGGCGGCGUGCCUAAUACAUGCAAGUCGAGCGAACAGACGAGGAGCUUGCUCCUCUGACGUUAGCGGCGGACGGGUGAGUAACACGUGGAUAACCUACCUAUAAGACUGGGAUAACUUCGGGAAACCGGAGCUAAUACCGGAUAAUAUAUUGAACCGCAUGGUUCAAUAGUGAAAGACGGUUUUGCUGUCACUUAUAGAUGGAUCCGCGCCGCAUUAGCUAGUUGGUAAGGUAACGGCUUACCAAGGCAACGAUGCGUAGCCGACCUGAGAGGGUGAUCGGCCACACUGGAACUGAGACACGGUCCAGACUCCUACGGGAGGCAGCAGUAGGGAAUCUUCCGCAAUGGGCGAAAGCCUGACGGAGCAACGCCGCGUGGGUGAUGAAGGUCCUCGGAUCGUAAAACUCUGUUAUUAGGGAAGAACAAAUGUGUAAGUAACUAUGCACGUCUUGACGGUACCUAAUCAGAAAGCCACGGCUAACUACGUG